UCCCCGGGAUUAGUUUGAUCCUGGCUCAGAUUGAACGCUGGCGGCAUGCCUUACACAUGCAAGUCGAACGGUAACGCGGGGCAACCUGGCGACGAGUGGCGAACGGGUGAGUAAUAUAUCGGAACGUGCCCAGUAGUGGGGGAUAGCCCGGCGAAAGCCGGAUUAAUACCGCAUACGAUCUACGGAUGAAAGCGGGGGAUCGCAAGACCUCGCGCGAUUGGAGCGGCCGAUAUCAGAUUAGCUAGUUGGUGGGGUAAAAGCUCACCAAGGCGACGAUCUGUAGCUGGUCUGAGAGGACGACCAGCCACACUGGAACUGAGACACGGUCCAGACUCCUACGGGAGGCAGCAGUGGGGAAUUUUGGACAAUGGGCGCAAGCCUGAUCCAGCAAUGCCGCGUGCAGGAUGAAGGCCUUCGGGUUGUAAACUGCUUUUGUACGGAGCGAAAAGGCUCUCUCUAAUACAGGGAGCUCAUGACGGUACCGUAAGAAUAAGCACCGGCUAACUACGUGCCAGCAGCCGCGGUAAUACGUAGGGUGCGAGCGUUAAUCGGAAUUACUGGGCGUAAAGCGUGCGCAGGCGGUUAUGUAAGACAGAUGUGAAAUCCCCGGGCUCAACCUGGGACCUGCAUUUGUGACUGCAUGGCUGGAGUACGGCAGAAGGGGGAUGGAAAUUCCGCGUGUAGCAGUGAAAUGCGUAGAUAUGCGGAGGAACACCGAUGGCGAAGGCAAUCCCCUGGGCCUGUACUGACGCUCAUGCACGAAAGCGUGGGGAGCAAACAGGAUGAGAUACCCUGGUAGUCC
rnacentral:rRNA from 1 species